ensembl:lncRNA
CAGAGGACUGCAAACAGGAGCCAAGUGGGGGCUCAUUUGUGAAAGCACUGUAUUAGUCUAUUUCGUGUCCACUCCCCUCCAUUUUUAUCAGCAAAGCAUCUAUUAGUGAGCAAUUACCAAUUCGCCGACCUGAGCUUUCUGCUGUGAAAUAUUUCCCAGUGAAUCAACAAGCCAAGUUGUUGGACUGCUAUGAAUGAUAAAAUGGCAUCCUUGGUCCUCUUUUUGAUACUCAGACUAUAUUGUUGCCCUGGGAAGAAACAAGCUCCAAACUCACAUUUAAGACCCCAGAUAAAAAAGUGACUCAAAGUUAAGCACAGGUGUUUUGGCACCAGCACGUCCACCAGGGAAUUUCUUAAGUCAAAUGAGCAGAUGGACUUGCCAUUUGAUAUCCUGAGCUUGUCCUGCACGAAUCAACUCCUAAAUAUUAUUCUGCUCUGUGGGCAAUUCUCUGCAAUCAAAUCUCUGGUAGGUUUCCCUUGAAAACUGCUCUUGGAAAUUCACCUGACGUGGUUUCCUUCCUCUAAAGCUUGUGUAACUACACAGACAGAAGACUUCUUGGGCCAAAGAGAUUCCUGCAAUAACCAAGAAUGGCAAAAUAAAUAAUAGUUUGACUGGUGAGAAGAAGAAAGAUGCACCAGAGCCUGGAUUUAUAACUGCUAACCAUUCUUCUCAUUUUGCUCAGGAAAGGUACUUUUCUAAUCCACCUGCUCAAUUAUUUCUCAUGCUAUGUGUCUCCUCUUAAUUGUCACUGGGGCAAAGCCUUUAUGUUGUAAGGGGACACCCUAGUAUUUUUUUUAAAGACCUUAGGCGAAGUGAUUGACACUGGAUCCUGGAGUCAGAUGUUCCCAGUGACGCAACUUGUUCUUCCAGUGGCCGAAAAGCUUCCUGCCACGAUUAAGUUAGAACUGUGAAAGUGCUAAAAUGUGUUGUCAGCCUUCCUCUGAUGCAAGCACUUUUAUUAUAGAGCCUAGUUGCAAGGAGUAUAGAAACAUGAAUCCUGUCUCCAAAUACCUCUCCUCUCUGGACUAGGCACUCUAUGCACAAAGGCAAUGUGUUCUCUACAUGCCCUGGGAGCUUGAAAUACACAAGGUAACAGUCAUGCCUCCACCAAACUCAGCUUUUCCUUGGCUCUACUCUUGUCCCAUUUCAUUUGUUCUUCUGGGUUCAUACAACAACUGAAUUAUGGUUGGCAGUCUCCAGUGCUGAAACACUCACCAAGUAGUCUAGUCCAAGCAAGAAGAAGCAACCCAUUCUGUAUUUGAGCUUGACAUGGAAAAUCACUUGUUUGCUUCUUCAAUAGGAGACUGAGAUGGAGCAAAAGUAUGUUUUUAUUGUUUCUGACACAGCCCAUACUUCCUAUGCAAAUGCUUGAGAACCUGGGAGCAAUGGGUGUCAGAUACACCACCAUCCAGUGUUGGAAGAUCCAUUCCCUCUUAAAACAACACAAAGGCCUUUGUCAACUCCCCUCUUCCUGGGUGGUUUCCCUGAGCCUGCUGCAGGGUUCACAGGCAAAGGGUAUUUUUGGAUGUGGCUGAGUGGUUAGACAGGGAAUAAUCUGGUUUAUUACUGAUGCAUUAAUUUAUGGAUGCUGUGCUACAACUAGUGCAAUAAUACCAAAACACACACAAAGCUAUGGACCAUAAAAUUUUCUAAUUAAAUUGGAAAGGAUGGAGAAACCAAUAGGGAGAAGACUAUACUACCAUUAUAUUUAUGCUUGACUCUUGUAAGUAUUUAUUCCAGAUUACCAUAGACACUGUGUCCCCAUUCUAUCUUGAAAUCAGAGAUGUUGGAAUCCAAAUAUGUGGUUAAUACUCAGAUUGGGAAACUGGGCUCUGUAGAUUUGUAUUGCUUCUGGAGAAUGUUUCUGCCUGAACUGUCUGAGCUAGGGUCAUCUUAAUUCAAGUGCAAUGCAUACCUUUAACUAACUCAAUUUCUGUUACCUAGAUGUGCUUGGUCCAUUGUACAUGCUCAGCAAAUACUGAGAAAAUAAGAGAAUGAAUGGAAAAGAACUCAGUGUGAGAAGAGAGCUAGCCUGAAUCAGCAGUUCCCUAACAUUGCUGCAUAUCCGAUGUGCUUACAAGCUUGUUAUAUUCAAUGUCUUUUCAAGUACCUCUUCCCCAUCGACCCAUAUUAUUUUUUAAAUUAAUUAUAAUAAUUCAAAAAAAUUAUAAUAAUUCAAAUAUUAUAGACAUUUCUAAACAAAAAUCAUCUCCUUCCUUUUUCUUGAAGCAAGACCCCAACGAUGCAAAACACUCUUAACAACUCACCGCGUGUUCCUUUGUAUUUUUUCUUUGUUUACACAAAUGCACAGCCUUUCACCUUGCCAUAUAAAAAUGACAUUGAAUGAAAAUACUUGUUAAAACUUGACUUUUCACAUAAUGUAUUGCACUCUUCCCAGUUAAUACAAUACAUCCCAAGCUGCUUCAUUCACUUCAUUUUCCUCCAUAGCACCCCACAAUAUAAUUACAUAUUGAUUCUUUCAAAGGUUGUUUGUGUGGGCUCAUAAACGUUGGAAACUCA